rnacentral:rRNA from 1 species
UACAGAGGGGGCCAGCGUUAUUCGGAAUUAUUGGGCGUAAAGGGCGCGUAGGCGGCCAUGCGUGUCUUCCGUGAAAUCCCCGGGCUUAACCUGGGAAUGGCAUUGGUGACUGCACGGCUAGAGUGUGUCAGAGGGGGGUAGAAUUCCACGUGUAGCAGUGAAAUGCGUAGAGAUGUGGAGGAAUACCGAUGGCGAAGGCAGCCCCCUGGGAUAACACUGACGCUCAUGCACGAAAGCGUGGGGAGCAAACAGG